CGCUGGCGGCGUGCUUAACACAUGCAAGUCGAACGAUGAACCUCACUUGUGGGGGGAUUAGUGGCGAACGGGUGAGUAACACGUGAGUAACCUGCCCUUGACUCUGGGAUAAGCCUGGGAAACCGGGUCUAAUACUGGAUACGACCUUCCCGCGCAUGCGGUGUUGGUGGAAAGCUUUUGUGGUUUUGGAUGGACUCGCGGCCUAUCAGCUUGUUGGUGGGGUAAUGGCCUACCAAGGCGACGACGGGUAGCCGGCCUGAGAGGGUGACCGGCCACACUGGGACUGAGACACGGCCCAGACUCCUACGGGAGGCAGCAGUGGGGAAUAUUGCACAAUGGGCGCAAGCCUGAUGCAGCGACGCCGCGUGAGGGAUGAAGGCCUUCGGGUUGUAAACCUCUUUCAGUAGGGAAGAAGCUGAUUCCUUUUGGGGUUGGUGACGGUACCUGCAGAAGAAGCGCCGGCUAACUACGUGCCAGCAGCCGCGGUAAUACGUAGGGCGCAAGCGUUAUCCGGAAUUAUUGGGCGUAAAGAGCUCGUAGGCGGUUUGUCGCGUCUGCCGUGAAAGUCCGGGGCUUAACUCCGGAUCUGCGGUGGGUACGGGCAGACUAGAGUGCAGUAGGGGAGACUGGAAUCCUGGUGUAGCGGUGA
rnacentral:rRNA from 1 species